rnacentral:rRNA from 1 species
AGCGAACGCUGGCGGCAGGCCUAACACAUGCAAGUCGAACGAAGCCUUCGGGCUUAGUGGCGGACGGGUGAGUAAAACGUGGGAACGUACCUCUUGGUUCGGAACAACUCAGGGAAACUUGAGCUAAUACCGGAUGAGCCCUGAGGGGGACAGAUUUAUCGCCGAAAGAGCGGCCCGCGUUAGAUUAGCUUGUUGGUGAGGUAAAGGCUCUCCAAGGCAACGAUCUAUAGCUGGUCUGAGAGGAGGAUCAGCCACACUGGGACUGAGACACGGCGCAGACGCCUACGGGAGGCAGCAGUGGGGGAUCUUGCGAAAUGGGCGAAAGGCGGACGCAGCCAUGCCGCGUGAGUGAUGAAGGUCUUAGGAUUGUAAAAUUCUUUUACCAGGGACGAUAAUGACGGUACCUGGAGAAAAAGCCCCGGCUAACUUCGUGCCAGCCGCCGCCGUAAGAC